AUCAAGCUUAUCGAUACCGUCGGACGCAUGUGGAAAGCACGGGCCGGGAAUGGAAAGACCGGUACAAGCGGGGUAGGUGUACAAUAGGCAAAUCCGUUGUAUAAUCCGAAGACGUGAUGUGGAGCGAAAUAAAGUAGUGAAGCGUGUGAGCCAUGUGCCGAGAAAAGCUGCUAUUGUGUAAUGCGUGCCCGUACCGUAAACCGACACAGGUGGAUGAGGAGAGAAUCCUAAGGCCGGCGGAAGAAGCAUUGUUAAGGAACUCGGCAAAAUGACCCCGUAACUUCGGGAGAAGGGGUGCCAACGAGAGUUGGCCGCAGAGAAUAGGCUCAAGCAACUGUUUAGCAAAAACACAGGUCUAUGCAAAACCGAAAGGUGAGGUAUAUGGGCUGACGCCUGCCCGGUGCUGGAAGGUUAAGAGGAGAGGUUAGCGCAAGCGAAGCUUUGAAUUUAAGCCCCAGUAAACGGCGGCCGUAACUAUAACGGUCCUAAGGUAGCGAAAUUCCUUGUCGGGUAAGUUCCGACCCGCACGAAAGGCGUAAUGAUUUGAGCACUGUCUCGACAAUGCAUCCGGUGAAAUUGAAGUACCAGUGAAGAUGCUGGUUACCCGCGCCAGGACGGAAAGACCCCAUGGAGCUUUACUCCAGUUUGAUACUGGGAUUCGGUACUGCAUGUACAGGAUAGGUGGGAGACGAAGAAGGAUGGACGCCAGUCUGUCCGGAGUCGCUGUUGGGAUACCACCCCUGUAGUACUGGGUUUCUAACCAGUUGCCAUGAACUGGCAAUGGGACAAUGUCAGGCGGGGAGUUUGACUGGGGCGGUCGCCUCCGAAAGGGUAUCGGAGGCGCUCAAAGGUUCCCUCAGAAUGGUUGGAAACCAUUCGAAGAGUGCAAAGGCAGAAGGGAGCUUGACUGCGACACCGACGGGUGGAGCAGGUACGAAAGUAGGACUUAGUGAUCCGGUGGUAUAAAGUGGGAUUGCCAUCGCUCAACGGAUAAAAGCUACCCUGGGGAUAACAGGCUUAUCACUCCCAAGAGUUCACAUCGACGGAGUGGUUUGGCACCUCGAUGUCGGCUCAUCGCAUCCUGGGGCUGUAGUAGGUCCCAAGGGUUGGGCUGUUCGCCCAUUAAAGCGGUACGCGAGCUGGGUUCAGAACGUCGUGAGACAGUUCGGUCCCUAUCCGGCGCGGGCGGAGGAUAUUUGAGAGGAGCUGUCCUUAGUACGAGAGGACCGGGAUGGACGGACCACUGGUGUAUCUGUUGUCGACCAACGGCAUGGCAGAGUAGCCAAGUCUGGAAGGGAUAAACGCUGAAGGCAUCUAAGCGUGAAGCCCCCCUCAAGAUGAGAUAUCCCUCCUUCGGGAGUAAGACCCCUUGAAGACUACAAGGUAGAUAGGGCAGAGGUGGAAGCAUGGCAACAUGUGGAGCUGACUGUUACUAAUAGGUCGAGGGCUUAAUCUG
rnacentral:rRNA from 1 species